rnacentral:misc_RNA from 1 species
UCUCCGUUGGUGAACCAGCGGAGGGAUCAUUGCUGGAACGCGCCCCAGGCGCACCCAGACACCCUAUGUGAACUUAUACCUUAUUGUUGCCUCGGCGCAUGCUGGUCCUCCGGGGCCCCUCACCCCCGGGUGUUGAGAAGGCACGCCGGCGACCAACCCAACUCUUGUUUUUACACUGAAACUCUGAGCACAAAACAUAAAUGAAUCAAAACUUUCAACAACGGAUCUCUUGGUUCUGGCAUCGAUGAAGAACGCAGC